AUAUUAAAAUUAAAAACCCCUCAAUUCAAAUUCUUAAUCUUCUCUUUUCUCAAUGGAGAACAGUUGCACCCGGCAGCGGGGGGGUAAACGCAAUGACAAGUGGGCACUGCCCGCCAAUAGACCUCAGCACUCCAACCCACUUCGCUGGUAUGAUACGACAAGUCCCCUCCAGUCCUCUAGGGGGCGAUACCGGGGGGGAAAAAAACAACAUUAAAGAAGCAUGCAAUCACUCACCUGUUGCUGCUUUGGCUUUGGCAGCCAGGUUGGCUCAGGUGCCACUGAUUUUAACCCGACUUGCAGGAAUGAAAACUGACAUUUUGGCUCCCUUCCCCGAAACCAUGUAAAUCUAACAGAGACAUGGUUUGAGAUGUAAUCGGAAAAAACUGACUAAUUCCUGGACUGAAGUGGCCAUAUUUGUGGUCCCAAAGUGAUUAGCUUGUUGUCGGAAGCCAGUUGGCAGCUUGGUCAUUUUUUCUUUUGGGCCUCUUCCAGAACAAACGGUGUUGCAGGAAAUGGAUUUUAUCUUGGCGGUGCAAACAGCACGGCUUUUUCUGGCUUCUGCAGCAGACGGAAUACAGUGGCUUUGGUUUGGGAUUUUGAAAUUGGGCCUGCUUGUAUAAACUGUGAGCAGUGGAAAUGACACCAUGGGAAUAGCACGAGGCCGCCUGAACCGAAGGAACAAACGACGGUGAGCUUCUGGGCCACCUGAAGCGCAACCGCAUUUCAGUCCCGACAGAAUAUACGCUUCCUGCGCGGACGAAAGGAACGCUGGGAGGGGAAUGUUACUAUAGGACGGCUGAGCGGCAGAAACAGGUGCCUGGUGGACGAGCAGCCUCACCCUGGGCAUGACGACCUUCACGGAAACAUGUCAACAGCGCAUCAAUAACAGAGAACAGCUUGCUGGACCCGCGACGGGAAAUCGCCAAACCACAAGGUCUCUGCCACGUCCAACUGCGACCACCCACUGCGAGAAAACUCAACAAAUGGAUGCACGGAUAUUAGUCGCCGACUUAGACGUUUUCAUAGAGAUAACGACGGGGCUAUAAUAACUCACAGCAACUGUGAAAAUAAACCGAGCCUCCAGUGGGACGCGACGCAUUACCGGUGUCCACCACAGGAGGGCAGACCGGUUCUACCUGACGCAAAAAAAAGAGAACACACAGAAGAAGAAAUGUCAUGACUGACGGAUUAAUGGAAGUAUCGGAGAGGAACUCAGACAGACCGGAGGGGGGAAACAUCUGCUUGCGCCCCCCCCCCCCCCCCCCCCCUCGCCCCCUCCCCAUACGCUGCCGACGGAACGGAGAACGCCGUAUGGUUAACAGGCCCCCAGAGCGGCCGGGCGGUUCUGUUCACCACGGGGCGCAGUGCUGGACCAAUGGGUGCUGCGAUUGGGUACAGACUCCGCCCCCUCGCCGCCCCACCUCCCCUCCCGAAGCAAGC